rnacentral:ncRNA from 1 species
AUCACGAAAGUCGGUAACACCCAAAGUCAGUGGCCCAACCGCAAGGAGGGAGCUGCCAAAGGUGGGAUCGGUGAUUGGGACGAAGUCGUAACAAGGUAGCCGUACCGGAAGGUGCGGCUGGAUCACCUCCUUU